rnacentral:rRNA from 1 species
AGAGUUUGAUCAUGGCUCAGAUUGAACGCUGGCGGCAGGCCUAACACAUGCAAGUCGAGCGGCAGCACGGGGAGCUUGCUCCCUGGUGGCGAGCGGCGGACGGGUGAGUAAUGCAUAGGAAUCUGCCCGGUAGUGGGGGAUAACCUGGGGAAACCCAGGCUAAUACCGCAUACGUCCUACGGGAGAAAGCAGGGGCUCUUCGGACCUUGCGCUAUCGGAUGAGCCUAUGUCGGAUUAGCUGGUUGGUGAGGUAAUGGCUCACCAAGGCGACGAUCCGUAGCUGGUCUGAGAGGAUGAUCAGCCACACUGGGACUGAGACACGGCCCAGACUCCUACGGGAGGCAGCAGUGGGGAAUAUUGGACAAUGGGCGCAAGCCUGAUCCAGCCAUGCCGCGUGUGUGAAGAAGGCCCUCGGGUUGUAAAGCACUUUCAGCGAGGAAGAAGGCUUGGCGGCUAAUAUCCGUCAAGAAGGACAUCACUCGCAGAAGAAGCACCGGCUAACUCCGUGCCAGCAGCCGCGGUAAUACGGAGGGUGCGAGCGUUAAUCGGAAUUACUGGGCGUAAAGCGCGCGUAGGUGGUUUGGCACGCCGGUUGUGAAAGCCCCGGGCUCAACCUGGGAACGGCAUCCGGAACGGCCAGACUAGAGUGCAGGAGAGGAAGGUAGAAUUCCCGGUGUAGCGGUGAAAUGCGUAGAGAUCGGGAGGAAUACCAGUGGCGAAGGCGGCCUUCUGGCCUGACACUGACACUGAGGUGCGAAAGCGUGGGUAGCAAACAGGAUUAGAUACCCUGGUAGUCCACGCCGUAAACGAUGUCGACUAGCCGUUGGGACCUUUAAGGACUUAGUGGCGCAGUUAACGCGAUAAGUCGACCGCCUGGGGAGUACGGCCGCAAGGUUAAAACUCAAAUGAAUUGACGGGGGCCCGCACAAGCGGU